UUAAAUUUUAGUUUAUAUAAAAUUUUUUAUUUACAUUAAAAAGAAUAAAUUUAUUUAAAAUUUA
rnacentral:tRNA from 1 species